AGAAUACUCUGGUUGAGGAGGAUCUUCAGCCUGAUGAACCAUUUCUUCAGCCUGCUGAGCCAGCCAGCUGGGUUAUAGGCUAUGGCCAGAUGUGGCGGGAAAUGACCGAGCAAGAUGGCCCUGUGCUUUGCAGCAACAUGCCCAUCAUACACUCCGGUUCUGGUUCCAGAGACCAUUUCCCAGCUGAAUGGGCCCUUGACCACCUGAUGGAGGAGCAGAGGGCAUCAGUGAACAAGGAGGGACCAGUCAGUGAGAGGGAAAAUAUGGAGGAGACUGAGGCCAAAGAGGAUGUGCAGCCUGGUGAACCAGCAAGCUGGGUUGUGGCCUAUGGCCAGAUGUGGCAGGAAAUGACUGAGCAAGAUGGUCCUGUGCUUUGCAGCAACAUGCCCAUCAUAUAC